UUAGUCAACGAAAGCUGAGGAAAAAUUUCACUCCCUCCACCUUCUUCCCCCGCGGGAAUAUUUCGACGAAGCGGAGGGUGGCGCUGGCAGCAGCGAAAGAUUUCUGAAAAUUGAGUAAAAAUGUCGACAGUUUACGUAUUAGAGCCGCCGACGAGGGGGAAGGUCGUGCUGAAUACCACAUGCGGACCGCUCGAUAUCGAGCUCUGGCCUAAGGAGGCUCCCAAAGCUGUCAGAAAUUUCGUUCAGCUCUGUCUUGAAGGCUACUACGACAAUACCAUCUUUCACCGGAUUAUCAAGGACUUCAUUGUUCAGGGCGGCGAUCCUACCGGUAGCGGCACAGGUGGUGAAAGUAUAUAUGGGGGUGUUUUCCCGGAUGAGUUUCACUCACGGCUUAGAUUCAAGCACAGGGGCUUAGUAGCAUGUGCAAAUGCGGGGUCGCCUCAUUCUAAUGGAAGUCAGUUCUUUAUAACCCUGAGUCGAUGUGAUGACCUUGACAAGAAACAUACAAUUUUCGGAAAGGUCACUGGAGAUUCUAUCUAUAACCUAACAAGUUUGGGUGAGUUCGAAACUGACAAGGAUGAUCGUCCUGUGGAUCCACCCAAGAUAAAAUCAAUUGAGGUAUUAUGGAAUCCAUUUGAUGAUAUUGUUCCAAGAGCACCUGCUAAGCUUGUGGUCACAUCCACCGUUGAUUCUGAAAACAGGGACACUAAGAAGAAAGCUGUGAAAAAAUUAAAUUUACUAUCGUUUGGAGAAGAAGCUGAAGAGGACGAGAAAGAACUGGCAGCUGUGAAGAAAAAAAUUAAGAGCAGUCAUGAUGUGUUGGAUGAUCCACGUUUGCUAAAGUCAGAGAUUCCAAGCAGUGAAUUGGACAGUAAAAGAACGAGGGAGAUGCAGCUAUCUGUUAGAGAGACUUUAGCAUCAAAGAAACAAGAGUCUCGCAGAGAUUCAGAAGCUGAAAAUUCUGAUCUCCCUCAAUACAGUGAUAGUGAUGAUGAUGAAACUAACUUUGAUGCCCGAAUGCGUCAACAGAUAUUGAGAAAAAGAACAGAGUUGGGAGAUGCACCAUCUCACCAAAAGUCUAAAAAUGGGACCUCUGACUCAAAGAAUCAUGAAGGAUCUACUCGAAGCAGGCCCGAUACUGAGAAAACUAAACGUGAGCAACCAAAGGUUGAGAAGUUAUCCUUGAAGAAGAAAGGAAUUGGAUCUGAAGCGAGAGCAGAGCGAAUGGCCAAUGCUGAUUCAGACUUGCAGUUGUUGGGUGAUGCUGAAAGAGGAAGACAGCUGCAAAAAUUGAAGAAGAGAAGACUUCAAGGACGUGAAGAUGAGGUUUUGGCAAAACUUGAGAAUUUUAAGAAAGGCUUUUCUGGAAAACCAGAACCUUCAAACGCUGAUUCCGGGGGUGCCAAUGAUGAUUUAUCAGACUGGAAAUCUGUUAGGCUAAAGUUCACACCAGAGCCUGGCAAGGACCGCAUGUCACGUAGUGAUGAUCCAAAUGACUAUGUUGUACAUGACCCUCUUCUCGAGAAAGGGAAAGAGAAAUUCAACAAAAUGCAAGCCAAACAAAAACGACGUGAACGGGAAUGGGCUGGCAAAUCUCUUACUUGACUCAUCAGUCAAGACCCUGGACAAACAAUGGGUUUCAAGAGUCGUAGAUUAAAUCCCAGAUUGACUUGGCUCCAUUCUUUUACUAUCAAACCAGAUCAAAUCUACAUCUCUAUUCCCACGGAACAGUGAAGAUUUAUUGAGGUUCAUCAAUCAUCAUUAUUGACAACCAUGACCAAUUGUUUCAGACACGCAAGUUUCUGAAUUUGGAAAAAGAAACAGUAUAUGGAUGUCUGAUUUGGCCAAACCUCAUCUUGAAAGGAAAAGAAAAUAAAAAAAUUUUAUUCAGGAAGGAGAUGGGUCUUCAAAGCAUCAUAUUCUGUCUGCUGUAGCGCACAUUAUUCAUUCAGACUUGAAAAGUCAUCCAUCAACAACACGUUCUUUACUCAGUCGUUUAUGCCUUCAGACGCGCAAAGAUAGUCGGCCCAGUCAUACUACCCGGAAAUUUACUCCUUUAGUUGGAACUUUACCCCAACCGUUUAUUAAUUUGGUGGAAAAAAUUACUUUUCUUUAUUCAAAUUUGGUUCGUUGGGAAGGAAAGCAAAGGAAAGGAAAGGAAAUGGAUUUAACCUAACCCACCUUUUAUAUUAUUUUAGAUUCCUUGACUAAGUGAUUGGCUCGGAUCUCUCAUCUUAUAUUUCACACUUAUUUUGGUUGUUGAGAAUUUCGGUGUUUGGUGGGGGCGUUUUGGGGCCUCUUCUGAAAUGGGUUAUAGAAAUACUUUGGUACCAAAAAAAAAAAAAAACUGUUGAAGAAAGAUUUCAUAUUUUUCAUGUGUGACACUGAACUUAGUCUUGUUAUUCUUAUGAUUAUUGUUCAUGAUUCCUUUUGAAA